rnacentral:rRNA from 1 species
AGAGUUUGAUCCUGGCUCAGAACGAACGCUGGCGGCAGGCUUAACACAUGCAAGUCGAGCGAGACCUUCGGGUCUAGCGGCGGACGGGUGAGUAACGCGUGGGAACGUGCCCUUCUCUACGGAAUAGCCCCGGGAAACUGGGAGUAAUACCGUAUACGCCCUUUGGGGGAAAGAUUUAUCGGAGAAGGAUCGGCCCGCGUUGGAUUAGGUAGUUGGUGGGGUAAUGGCCCACCAAGCCGACGAUCCAUAGCUGGUUUGAGAGGAUGAUCAGCCACACUGGGACUGAGACACGGUCCAGACUCCUACGGGAGGCAGCAGUGGGGAAUCUUAGACAAUGGGGGCAACCCUGAUCUAGCCAUGCCGCGUGAGUGAUGAAGGCCUUAGGGUUGUAAAGCUCUUUCAGCUGGGAAGAUAAUGACGGUACCAGCAGAAGAAGCCCCGGCUAACUCCGUGCCAGCAGCCGCGGUAAUACGGAGGGGGCUAGCGUUGUUCGGAAUUACUGGGCGUAAAGCGCACGUAGGCGGACUGGAAAGUCAGAGGUGAAAUCCCAGGGCUCAACCUUGGAACUGCCUUUGAAACUAUCAGUCUGGAGUUCGAGAGAGGUGAGUGGAAUUCCGAGUGUAGAGGUGAAAUUCGUAGAUAUUCGGAGGAACACCAGUGGCGAAGGCGGC